UACGUAGGGUGCAAGCGUUAAUCGGAAUUACUGGGCGUAAAGCGUGCGCAGGCGGUUUUGUAAGACAGGCGUGGAAUCCCCGGGCUCAACCUGGGAAUGGCAUUUGGGACUGCAAGGCUGGAGUUUGGCAGAGGAGACUGGAAUUCCUGGUGUAGCAGUGAAAUGCGUAGAUAUCAGGAGGAAUACCGAUGGCGAAGGCAGGUCUCUGGGCUAUAACUGACGCUCAUGCACGAAAGCGUGGGGAGCAAACAGGAUUAGAAACCCCGGUAGU
rnacentral:rRNA from 1 species